ensembl:lncRNA
CCCUUGGUUUGCUCAGCCCAGAGAAGCAGAGAUUGAAGGGAGGCCUCAUGGUGGCCUACAGAGCUCAUGACCAACAGCUCCUCAUGGUCUGCAGCUCCUUCAUGGAGGUCUACAGCUCCUCAUGUCCCACAGCUCCUCAUGUCCCACAGUUCCUCAUGGCCCAAAGCUCCCUCAUAGAGGUCUACAGCUCCUUCAUGGAAUUCUGCAGCUCCUACAUGGUGGUCUACAGUUCCUCAUAUCCUACAGCUCCUCAUGGCCUACAGCUCCUCAUGGCCUACGGCUCCUCGUGGCCUACAGCUCUUCAUAUCCUACGGCUCCUCAUUGCCCAUAGCUCCCUCAUGGCAGCCUACAGUGCCCUCAUGGCAGCCUGCAUCUUCCUCACAGGAGAGCAGAGGGGCAGGAGCUGACAUCUGCUCUCUGGGGACAGUUUUUGAGGGUCCCCUUCCCAAGUCAUCCCAGAAAACCCCAUACAUCCUGAGUUCCCUGCUCAUACAUCUCGAGAAAGAGGCAGAGAACCCCUCCAUGUGUUGGAUUAGGCACAUAAAACCAAGAAUUAUCCUUCACAUCACGAAGGGGAAGCAUUUCUCCAAGAGGUAAGCUCCGGGUUAUACUGGUACUGCAACACUGCACAUUCUCUUGCCCUCAAAGGAGAGAAGAGAUCCUGAGAUAACGAACAGAGUCAGCUGUCAUCCUGGGAAAGCAGAGAAGACAAGAACUUGUAGGUUUUACCUGGGUAUGUCUUCCCAGCCAGGUUCUACACAGUGUGGAAGUGUACAGCCGGAGAGAACAGUAUUCAUCUCCUUCAGCAACAUCAGAGCAAAAUCUACAUUCCCUGCUCUCCCGUAGGGUUUUACAGUGAGAUAUGUGCCUGGCAGUGUGGCAGCUCUCUGCUUCUCUGACAUCUCGCACCGCUCCUUCCCCACUGCAAGGGUCUGAGCAGUGGUUGUCAAGAUCUGCAAGAGCUGGUAAUAAUUGAAGUGGAGACAAAGACCCGCAGGAAACCAUGGCAGCUUCAACAGCAACACCUAUGUAAACAGAAUGGAAUUAAAGUUACUUAAGAAAAUCUUGUAUUUGAUUAUUUUAAAGGAUAUUUUUCGCCCCUGGAUUUUUUUAAUUGUGUGUGUUUUCUGAUGUUUCACCAUUUAAUGACAUGACUUCAGUGACAGUACAUAGCACGACAUGCCACUCCAUGUUAAUGGUGACAGAAUGAAAUAUGACACAUCAGCUCCUACUCCUGCCAUGCCAUAAUGUGACAGAGUGUGCCAUACUGAAAAUGCAGCAGUCAAUACAGAUUGUGCUAUUAUUUUGACCAUUUCCCACUUUAUUUUUUAAACAAUUAAGGCAGCUUCUACUUGCUACUAAUUGAGAGAAAUUUUUCUAAGGUGCCGUCUGUUUGUGCUGUAAUGAAAAUAUGACACUUCAAACAAGAAAAGAAGACAAGUGCUUAGCACGCUAAUUAGAGCAGAAACUAUUUUCUACAUCCUAGGAAGGUGACUUGGGCUUAACGCUGAGCAAUGCUACAACCAGCUCCUGCCAUACAGCGUGGCAUUCUCACCUCCAGUUGAGUAUCUCCAAAGCCAUUUGCAAAC